rnacentral:tRNA from 1 species
GCAGUCGUGGCCGAGUGGUUAAGGCGAUGGACUAGAAAUCAAUUUGGGUCUCCCCGCACAGGUUCGAAUCCUGUUGACUGCG